rnacentral:lncRNA from 1 species
UGACAUGCCUUACACCAGUUUCUGAGUCGGUGCUAGAUUUUCCUGCUUUCAUCAGCAAGAACUACAAAUACUCAGUCAGACUCUCAAAUCAUCUUAGAAUUCUAAGGCCAAGUAUAAAAGCUUUAGGCCUUUCCAAGGGGAAGUGAAGACUGCACUAGCUCUAGUUCUGCCAUUGGCUACCCACACGACCAAGUCACUUUCUCAUCCAGUUUCCCCAGCAGGAAAACGGGUGAUUUAUAUUUUGCUAUUUUCAAAAGCAGUGCUGUCCACUAGAGAUAUCCACAAGACACUAAUCUAUCUAAACAAAACCCUAAGAGCAGAAAGAUCAGUAGAGUAGAGGAAAGGGAAUGGGGAGGAGGGAGGGGAGGAGAGGGGGGAGUGCUAGAGACUGAAUUAGAGCAAAUUAUAUUCCAUGCUCUUAUAAUUAUGUCAACAUGAAGCCUAAGGUUAUAUAUAAC